rnacentral:misc_RNA from 3 species
AACGCACAUUGCGCCCCUUGGUAUUCCAUGGGGCAUGCCUGUUCGAGCGUCAUUUGUACCUUCAAGCUCUGCUUGGUGUUGGGUGUUUGUCCCGCCUUUGUGCGCGGACUCGCCUUAAAGCAAUUGGCAGCCGGCGUAUUAGUUUCGGAGCGCAGCACAAAUCGCGCUCUGUGUCUUAUACGGUAGCAUCCAUCAAGACUAUUUUACACUCUUGACCUCGGAUCAGGUAGGGAUACCCGCUGAACUUAA